rnacentral:rRNA from 1 species
UUUCCCGUGGACCUAGCAUAUCAAUAAGCGGAGGAAAAGAAACCAACAGGGAUUGCCUCAGUAACGGCGAGUGAAGCGGCAACAGCUCAAAUUUGAAAUCUGGCUCUUUUAGGGUCCGAGUUGUAAUUUGUAGAAGAUGCUUUGGGUGUGGCUCCGGUCUAAGUUCCUUGGAACAGGAUGUCAUAGAGGGUGAGAACCCCGUAUGUGACUGGAUGCCUCCCCCGUGUAAAGCUCUUUCGACGAGUCGAGUUGUUUGGGAAUGCAGCUCAAAAUGGGUGGUAAAUUUCAUCUAAAGCUAAAUAUUGGCCAGAGACCGAUAGCGCACAAGUAGAGUGAUCGAAAGAUGAAAAGCACUUUGGAAAGAGAGUUAAACAGUACGUGAAAUUGUUGAAAGGGAAGCGCUUGCAAUCAGACUUGCGCGCGGCCGAUCAUCCGAGGUUUUCCCCGGUGCACUCGACCGCGCUCAGGCCAGCAUCGGUUUCGGUGGUGGGAUAAAGGCCUUGGGAAUGUGACUCCUCUCGGGGAGUGUUAUAGCCCUCGGUGCAAUGCCGCCUAUCGGGACCGAGGACCGCGCUUCGGCUAGGAUGCUGGCGUAAUGGUUGUAAGCGACCCGUCUUGAAACACGGACCAAGGAGUCUAACAUUUAUGCGAGUGUUUGGGUGUUAAACCCAUACGCGUAAUGAAAGUGAACGGAGGUGAGAACCCUUAAGGGUGCAUCAUCGACCGAUCCUGAUGUCUUCGGAUGGAUUUGAGUAAGAGCAUAACUGUUGGGACCCGAAAGAUAGUGAACUAUGCCUGAAUAGGGUGAAGCCAGAGGAAACUCUGGUGGAGGCUCGCAGCGGUUCUGACGUGCAAAUCGAUCGUCAAAUUUGGGUAUAGGGGCGAAAGACUAAUCGAACUAUCUAGUAGCUGGUUCCUGCCGAGCUCCUCCCC